rnacentral:rRNA from 1 species
ACACGACUACAUUAGAUACCCCGUGUAGUCCUAGCCGUAAACGAUACUCGCUAGGUGUCGGCCACGGUGCGACCGUUGUCGGUGCCGUAGGGAAGCCGUGAAGCGAGCCACCUGGGAAGUACGGCCGCAAGGCUGAAACUUAAAGGAAUUGGCGGGGGAGCACCGCAACGGGAGGAGCGUGCGGUUCAAUUGGAUUCAACGCCGGACAACUCACCAGGAGCGACGGUUACAUGAAGGCCAGGCUGAUGACCUUGCCUGAUUUUCCG